rnacentral:rRNA from 1 species
AGAGUUUGAUCCUGGCUCAGAACGAACGCUAGCGGCGUGCCUAACACAUGCAAGUCGUACGAGAAAUCCCGGGCAACUGGGAGAGUAAAGUGGCGCACGGGUGAGUAACGCGUGGGUAAUCUACCUUGGAGUUCGGAAUAACACUUCGAAAGGGGUGCUAAUACCGGAUAUCGUCCCAGGAGUUUCGGCUUCGGGGAUGAAAGAUGGCUGAGGCUUGCAAGCUAUUGCUCCAAGAUGAGCCCGCGUACCAUUAGCUUGUUGGUGGGGUAACGGCUCACCAAGGCAAUGAUGGUUAGCUGGUCUGAGAGGAUGGCCAGCCACACUGGAACUGAGACACGGUCCAGACUCCUACGGGAGGCAGCAGUGAGGAAUCUUGCGCAAUGGGGGCAACCCUGACGCAGCAACGCCGCGUGAGUGAUGAAGGCCUUCGGGUCGUAAAGCUCUGUCAGGCGGGAAGAAAGUUUUCAGGGUGAACAAUCCUGGAGAUUGACGGUACCGCCAGAGGAAGCACCGGCUAACUCCGUGCCAGCAGCCGCGGUAAUACGGAGGGUGCUAGCGUUGUUCGGAAUUAUUGGGCGUAAAGAGCGUGUAGGCGGCCUCGUAAGUCAGAUGUGAAAUCCCUUGGCUUAACCAAGGAAGAGCAUUUGAAACUGCCUGGCUUGAGUACGGGAGGGGGAAGCGGAAUUCCCGGUGUAGAGGUGAAAUUCGUAGAUAUCGGGAGGAACACCGGUGGCGAAGGCGGCUUCCUGGACCGAUACUGACGCUGAGACGCGAAAGCGUGGGGAGCAAACAGGAUUAGA